ensembl:lncRNA
UUUUAAUUUAUGUUAUUUUAUCCAAAAUGGAUUAUAGAAUGCAAACUGUUUUAGUUCCAAGAUGAUUACUGAUGACACUCGCUGAUUUAAGCAUGCAACUUGAGAUCAUGUGACAGAUGAAGUCAGGUCAUAUGACUGUGUUUGUAGCAUGCUGCUCUCUAAAACAGGUUGGCCUGCUGUUUCACUAUUUUUUCUGAAGUAGUAUACAGUAUACAGUGUAUUCAAUUUUAAAUAAAGUCUCUGUCAAGGAAAAUCAGCUCGUUAGCAGGCUAAAGCAAGAUGCUGAUGGAUUUGUAGCAAAGAACAGCAACAAGUAAACAGAAAGGAUGAAGAUCUGCAACAAACGAUGCAGAGAAUGAGGACAACUGAUCAGAUGACACAAACGCAUGCAGAAGUUUCCAAAGACAGAACGACCCUAAUCAGGAUCAUUUUCAAAGGCUCCAGAAGAAAGGAAUGUCUUUGUUUCUGAGUGAAAUGAGUGAAAUGUGGGGUUCUCCGAGCGUCUCUGUGUACAGGAUGUCCCUGAGACUAUUCUUGGCAGCUCUGGGUUGAAGAAGGGGGGGUUUCAUCUGGUUUAACUCAGGCAUCUGCACUGGUUCGAGAGGCUCUUUUGUUCUGGAGUUUUGAUUGAAACUUAAAGAGUGCAGGAAAUGCAGAUACUCCUGGAUGGGACGAUGCUCGCUGACGUGAUUGGAUCGCCGGUGCAGACUCGUGGACUGAACCACAUGAAAGCUCUGGAGAUGAGAGAGAUCUGGGGGCCGUUAAAGAGACGCACCCGCUUCUGGAGCUCAUGGGUUCAGUCUUCAUGUUCAGCCACAAGAUGCUUUUAUUAAUGGCACUCAUCGUUGCAUUCAGGCCUGGUUUUAUUCUCUAACGUUUGUUCUUAAAUUGUCUGUCUUCAGCUACAUCAGUUUUUGAUGAGAAACCCCCUUAAACAUUAUAACUCAAGUUUUUUUUUUCAUUGAGAAACUAUUUGAAUGCUAAGUACAGACACUUAUUACUUUACUAGCGCAGAGAAGUUGGGUCGCUUUGUGAAGUUAUCACCGCGAGCCGCAUAUUUGUGGACCUUAACCUUGUAUAGAGUUAAAUUGGGUUAAAGCGCCAUCAGAUCUAUUUUCAGAGGUUAUUCAUCAGCGCGGAGGAACUGUCUCGUUUCUUCUUAAGUGUCUGGCUGAUCACAGCUCUGUUUGAAAUGUCUCAAGCUUGAAGUGUUGGAGAUAUUAGUCAUUAUUAAAGUUAACCCG